AGCGAACGCUGGCGGCAGGCCUAACACAUGCAAGUCGAACGAAGUCUUCGGACUUAGUGGCGGACGGGUGAGUAACACGUGGGAACGUACCUUUUGGUUCGGAACAACUCAGGGAAACUUGAGCUAAUACCGGAUGAGCCCUUAGGGGGAAAGAUUUAUCGCCGAAAGAGCGGCCCGCGUUAGAUUAGCUAGUUGGUGGGGUAAAGGCUCACCAAGGCUACGAUCUAUAGCUGAUCUGAGAGGAUGAUCAGCCACACUGGGACUGAGACACGGCCCAGACUCCUACGGGAGGCAGCAGUGGGGAAUCUUGCGCAAUGGGCGAAAGCCUGACGCAGCCAUGCCGCGUGAAUGAUGAAGGUCUUAGGAUUGUAAAAUUCUUUUACCAGGGACGAUAAUGACGGUACCUGGAGAAAAAGCCCCGGCUAACUUCGUGCCAGCCGCCGCGGUAAUAC
rnacentral:rRNA from 1 species